rnacentral:RNase_P_RNA from 1 species
GAACUAAGUUGGACGGUUGCGCGCUAUUGUGCCGAAAGGUAUUAGCGUGAGGAAAGUCCGUGCUUCACAGAGCAGGGUAACUGAUAACGUCAGUCGGAGGCGACUCCCGGGAAAGUGCAACAGAAAAGUACCGCCCGCAAGGGUAAGGAUGAAAACGCGAGGUAAGAGCUCACGAUAUUCUAUGGUAACAUAGAAUAGGUGUAAACCCUACCUGAAGCAACACCGCAUAUGGGGAUUUUAUUUGCUCGAUAAGGCGCCAGCCGUCCCUAUGGGUGGCACGCAAUUUUUGCGGAGCCUUACGGUGACGUAAGGCAAAGAUAGAUGACCGUCGAAUACAGAACACGGCUUAUAGAUUUAGUUCAACU